GACGAACCGUGCGAACGUUGUUCGGAUUCACUGGGCUUAAAGGGCGCGUAGGCGGGCUGACAAGUCUGGGGUGAAAUGCCGCGGCUCAACCGUGGAACUGCCUCAGAUACUGUCGGCCUCGAGGGAGGUAGGGGCGUGCGGAACUGUAGGUGGAGCGGUGAAAUGCGUUGAUAUCUACAGGAACUCCGGUGGCGAAAGCGGCGCGCUGGACCUCUUCUGACGCUGAGGCGCGAAAGCUAGGGGAGCAAACGGG
rnacentral:rRNA from 1 species